rnacentral:snRNA from 1 species
GUGCCUGCUUUGGCAGCACAUACAAUAAAAUUUGGAAUGACACAAGAAGAUUAUCAUGGCCCCUGCACAAGGAUAAAAAAUGUUUUAAAUGGUAAAUUUUGUGUUUUG